rnacentral:lncRNA from 1 species
AUUCAAGCACAUAAUGGUAGUCUUCAGCACCUUACUUGGCUUGGCUUACAGUGGAAUUCAUUGCCUGCUUUACCUGGAAUCCGAAAAUGGCUAAAACAGCUUUUCCAUCAUUUGCCCCAGGAAACCUCAAGGCUUGAAACAAAUGCACCUGAAUCAAUAUGUAUUUUAGAUCUUGAAGUAUUUCUCCUUGGAGUAGUAUAUACCAGCCACUUACAAUUAAAGGAGAAAUGUAAUUCUCACCACAGCUCCUAUCAGCCGUUAUGCCUGCCCCUUCCUGUGUGUAAACAGCUUUGUACAGAGAGACAAAAAUCUUGGUGGGAUGCGGUUUGUACUCUGAUUCACAGAAAAGCAGUACCUGGAAACUCAGCAGAAUUGAGACUUGUAGUUCAGCAUGAAAUAAACACUCUAAGAGCCCAGGAAAAACAUGGCCUUCAACCUGCUCUGCUUGUACAUUGGGCAAAAUGCCUUCAGAAAAUGGGCAGCGGUCUUAAUUGUUUUUAUGAUCAACAAGAAUACAUAGGGAGAAGUGUUCAUUAUUGGAAGAAAGUUUUGCCAUUGUUGAAGAUAAUAAAGAAGAACAGUAUUCCUGAACCUAUUGAUCCUCUGUUUAAACAUUUUCAUAGUGUAGACAUUCAGGUAACAGGCAUCAGAAAUUGUUGAAUAUGAAGAAGACGCACACAUAACUUUUGCUAUAUUGGAUGCAGUACAUGGAAAUAUAAAAGAUGCUGUGACUGCUUUUGAAUCUAUACAAAGUGUUGUUUCUUAUUGGAAUCUUGCACUGAUUUUUCACAGGAAGGCAGAAGACAUUGAAAAUGAUGCCGUUUUUCCUGAAGAACAAGAAGAAUGCAAAAAUUAUCUCAGAAAGACCAGGGACUACCUAAUAAAGAUUAUAGAUGACAGUGAUUCAAAUCUUUCAGUGGUCAAGAAAGUAAGUAGCAGGUUGUUGUAUGUACGUUCUUACUGAUAACCCACUGGUCAAUGUUUUUGCGUUGGUCUUAUACUUUGGUAAUUUCAAAAAUACUCAGUAAUAUGUUGUUAUUAAUGCACAGAAGGGAUGUGUGUAUCUAAAUGCUUAUAUUUGCUUGCUUUGUCUUAGGUUUGGUGUG